rnacentral:rRNA from 1 species
UCGAGCGAAGCUUUUCAGUAGUUUACUACAGAAAAUGACUGAGCGGCGAACGGGUGAGUAACGCGUGAGCAAUCUACCUUAGUUACAGGGAUAGCCCGAGGAAACUCGGAUUAAUACCUGAUAUUCUUUAUUUCUCGCAUGAGAAUAAAAGGAAAGGUCAGCCGAACUAAGAUGAGCUCGCGUUCUAUCAGCUAGUUGGUGAGGUAAAAGCUUACCAAGGCUACGACGGAUAGCUGGUCUGAGAGGACGAUCAGCCACACUGGGACUGAGACACGGCCCAGACUCCUACGGGAGGCUGCAGCAGGGAAUAUUGUGCAAUGAACGAAAGUUUGACGCAGCGACACCGCGUGUGGGAUGACGGAUCUAGGUUUGUAAACCACUUUCAGGAGGGAAGAAAAUGACGGUACCUCCACAAGAAGCCCCGGCCAACUACGUGCCAGCAGCCGCGGUAAUACGUAGGGGGCGAGCGUUGUCCGGAUUUAUUGGGCGCAAAGAGCUCGUAGGCGGUUCAACAAGUCGGUAGUAAAAGUUCAGGGCUCAACCCUGAAAUGUCUAUCGAUACUGUUGUGACUAGGAUACGGCAGAGGUGAGUGGAAUUCCGAGUGUAGCGGUGAAAUGCGUAGAUAUUCGGAGGAACACCAAUUGCGAAGGCAGCUCACUGGGCCGCUACCGACGCUGAGGAGCGAAAGCUAGGGGAGCAAACAGGAUUAGAUACCCUGGUAGUCCUAGCUGUAAACGAUGGAUACUAGACGUAGGAACUGGAUUGACGGUUUCUGUGUCGUAGCUAACGCAUUAAGUAUCCCGCCUGGGGA